AAGUCGUAACAAGGUUUCCGUAGGUGAACCUGCGGAAGGAUCAUUAUCACAAAUGAUUUUUAAGGUCUCUCUUAAUCCAGAGCCUUAAACCUCUUCUAAACCAAUCUAAUAAAAUGUGAAACUGUUUCAUUUUGUUUUUUUUUCUUGAUGAUGAUUGGCUCUCUGAGCCUUUCAGAAACAAAAAAAAAAAAAACAAUCUUUCUUUUAACCAAUUGAACCCUUUUCUAAUUUAUUGUUAUUUUAUUUCUAUUCUAGUUCUGAAAUCUUAUUAUAUAUCAAUAUGUAAUAAUAUUGACAUGUAAUAAGUUACAUUACGAAACAAUAUUAAAUAAAACAACUCUUAGCAACGGAUAUCUUGGUUCUC
rnacentral:misc_RNA from 1 species